CCUACGGGGGGCAGCAGUGAGGAAUAUUGGUCAAUGGUCGGGAGACUGAACCAGCCAAGCCGCGUGAGGGAUGAAGGUACAGAGUAUCGUAAACCUCUUUUGUCAGGGAACAAAGGCGGGGACGUGUCCCCGGAUGAGUGUACCUGAAGAAAAAGCAUCGGCUAACUCCGUGCCAGCAGCCGCGGUAAUACGGAGGAUGCGAGCGUUAUCCGGCUUUAUUGGGUUUAAAGGGUGCGCAGGCGGUCUGUUAAGUCAGCGGUAAAAGCCCGUGGCACAACCCCGGCCCGCCGUUGAAACUGGCAGUCUCGAGUUGGAGAGAAGUAUGCGGAAUGCGCGGUGUAGCGGUGAAAUGCAUAGAUAUCGCGCAGAACUCCGAUUGCGAAGGCAGCAUGCCGGCUCAACACUGACGCUGAGGCACGAAAGCGUGGGUAUCGAACAGGAUUAGAUACCCGUGUAGUC
rnacentral:rRNA from 1 species